AAGUCGUAACAAGGUUUCCGUAGGUGAACCUGCGGAAGGAUCAUUAAUGAAAUUAUGACUGGGGUUGUAGCUGGCCUAUAAAACGGCAUGUGCACGCUCCUUUCACAAUCCACACACACCUGUGCACCUUCGCGGGGGUCUUUUUUCCUCUUCGGGGGACUAAAGACUCGCGUCCCUUUACACACCCUUUGUAUGUCUUAAGAAUGUCUACUCGAUGUAAUAAAACGCAUCUAAUACAACUUUCAACAACGGAUCUCUUGGCUCUC
rnacentral:misc_RNA from 1 species